CUAACGAUGGGAGUCUUAUUGUAGAAUAGAAAUGACAGACUUUGUGCCUAACGGGGACACCCCGGCUUCUCAUGAACGGGGUAAUUCACCGCAGCAGCACCAACAGGACGGGUGUUGAUUACCAUCCACAUCUGAACCGUGUCGAUUUCCCUUUGCUGUGAUGACUGAAAUAUUAACCUUUGGCCAUCUCUCAAUGAUCAUCUGGGAAGUUCUUUCAAGACUCUUUGGAAAACUAUUUCAGAGCAGAGGUGCCAAUGAGUAGCUGAUGAGGCAGCAAGUCGGCUGCAGGUGGCACUCUCAAUGGUCUCCCCCACUAUGAAGGCGGUGGUGGAUGCCGUGUGGGCGGUGUGGAGCAUCGGCGCCUCCAUCUAUGACUACAUCCACACCAACGCCAUGGAGGAACGCAUCCAUGCCCUGGAGAACGUCAUAACCAUCCACCAGUGUGUGAUCGGGCUGCUGUCCGCCGGCGUGCUGGUGCUCUUCACCUACAUCCUCUUCAAGAAGCUCUGACCUAACUUGUCAAGAGAAGGGAGGCGGUUGGGAAGGGCUACAUUCUGGGAUUGUGGAGGGUACUUGUAGUUUUCCAUGAUGAAGGCCAUGUCUGCACAACGUUUACUAUGUUUAAUGGAAGAGGACCGUGUAAAAUAAUGCCAUUUACGCAGGAAUUUGCUUUUUUUUUUUUGUUUCCUCAUCAUUGCAUGAUGUAUUGGGGGCUGCAAAAAGCAAUCGUUGUCUUUUCAUUGGCCUGCUGUUUUUUUGGAGGUCUGACUAAACAAGAUUUUAUUUCCAUUUUAAUUUCAUGAUUAGGUUUAAAAUGCUCCUCCAGCUUUACAGGGGAAGCAAACUCAAAAUACUAUCCUCAAAUUUUGCCUUAAUGGAUUUCAUAUUAUAAAAAAGCAUUUAGACUUGUUACUUCUGGUUUCACAAGCUGAAGCUGUUGACUAACAUACAUCCUACACACGUCUCAGGUAAUAAAUGAACACCCUCCAGCAUCUGAAGGAAAUGUCUCCAAGGGGAAUUUUCACUUAAUGCUCCUGCUAACAAGAUAAUCAUUACAUCUAA